rnacentral:rRNA from 1 species
UGGGGAAUAUUGCACAAUGGGCGCAAGCCUGAUGCAGCCAUGCCGCGUGUAUGAAGAAGGCCUUCGGGUUGUAAAGUACUUUCAGCGAGGAGGAAGGCGUUAAGGUUAAUAACCUUGGCGAUUGACGUUACUCGCAGAAGAAGCACCGGCUAACUCCGUGCCAGCAGCCGCGGUAAUACGGAGGGUGCAAGCGUUAAUCGGAAUUACUGGGCGUAAAGCGCACGCAGGCGGUCUGUUAAGUCAGGUGUGAAAUCCCCGGGCUCAACCUGGGAACUGCAUUUGAAACUGGCAGGCUUGAGUCUUGUAGAGGGGGGUAGAAUUCCAGGUGUAGCGGUGAAAUGCGUAGAGAUCUGGAGGAAUACCGGUGGCGAAGGCGGCCCCCAUGGACAAAGACUGACGCUCAGGUGCGAAAGCGUGGGGCAGCAAACAGGAUUAGAUACCCUGGUAGUCCACGCUGUAAACGAUGUCGACUUGGAGGUUGUUCCCUUGAGGAGUGGCUUCCGGAGCUAACGCGUUAAGUCGACCGCCUGGGGAGUACGGCCGCAAGGUUAAAAC